UACGAAGGGGGCUAGCGUUGCUCGGAAUCACUGGGCGUAAAGGGUGCGUAGGCGGGUCUUUAAGUCAGGGGUGAAAUCCUGGAGCUCAACUCCAGAACUGCCUUUGAUACUGAAGAUCUUGAGUUCGGGAGAGGUGAGUGGAACUGCGAGUGUAGAGGUGAAAUUCGUAGAUAUUCGCAAGAACACCAGUGGCGAAGGCGGCUCACUGGCCCGAUACUGACGCUGAGGCACGAAAGCGUGGGGAACGAACAGG
rnacentral:rRNA from 1 species